AGCGUACACGGUGGAUGCCCUGGCAGUCAGAGGCGAUGAAGGACGUGCUAAUCUGCGAAAAGCGUCGGUAAGGUGAUAUGAACCGUUACAGCCGGCGAUGUCCGAAUGGGGAAACCCAGUGCAAUUCGUUGCACUAUCGUUAACUGAAUACAUAGGUUAACGAGGCGAACCGGGGGAACUGAAACAUCUAAGUACCCCGAGGAAAAGAAAUCAACCGAGAUUCCCCCAGUAGCGGCGAGCGAACGGGGAGCAGCCCAGAGUCUGAAUCAGCUUGUGUGUUAGUGGAACGGUCUGGAAAGUCCGACGGUACAGGGUGAUAGUCCCGUACACCAAAAUGCACAGGUUGUGAACUCGAAGAGUAGGGCGGGACACGUGGUAUCCUGUCUGAAUAUGGGGGGACCAUCCUCCAAGGCUAAAUACUCCUGACUGACCGAUAGUGAACCAGUACCGUGAGGGAAAGGCGAAAAGAACCCCGGCGAGGGGAGUGAAAAAGAACCUGAAACCGUGUACGUACAAGCAGUGGGAGCACCUUCGGGUGUGACUGCGUACCUUUUGUAUAAUGGGUCAGCGACUUAUAUUCUGUAGCAAGGUUAACCGUAUAGGGGAGCCGCAGGGAAACCGAGUCUUAACUGGGCGUUAAGUUGCAGGGUAUAGACCCGAAACCCGGUGAUCUAGCCAUGGGCAGGUUGAAGGUUGGGUAACACUAACUGGAGGACCGAACCGACUAAUGUUGAAAAAUUAGCGGAUGACUUGUGGCUGGGGGUGAAAGGCCAAUCAAACCGGGAGAUAGCUGGUUCUCCCCGAAAGCUAUUUAGGUAGCGCCUCGUGAACUCAUCUUCGGGGGUAGAGCACUGUUUCGGCUAGGGGGUCAUCCCGACUUACCAACCCGAUGCAAACUACGAAUACCGAAGAAUGUUAUCACGGGAGACACACGGCGGGUGCUAACGUCCGUCGUGAAGAGGGAAACAACCCAGACCGCCAGCUAAGGUCCCAAAGUCACAGUUAAGUGGGAAACGAUGUGGGAAGGCACAGACAGCCAGGAUGUUGGCUUAGAAGCAGCCAUCAUUUAAAGAAAGCGUAAUAGCUCACUGGUCGAGUCGGCCUGCGCGGAAGAUGUAACGGGGCUAAACUGUGCACCGAAGCUGCGGCAGCGACACUAUGUGUUGUUGGGUAGGGGAGCGUUCUGUAAGCCUGCGAAGGUGGCCUGUGAGGGUUGCUGGAGGUAUCAGAAGUGCGAAUGCUGACAUAAGUAACGAUAAUGCGGGUGAAAAGCCCGCACGCCGGAAGACCAAGGGUUCCUGUCCAACGUUAAUCGGGGCAGGGUGAGUCGACCCCUAAGGCGAGGCCGAAAGGCGUAGUCGAUGGGAAACAGGUUAAUAUUCCUGUACUUGGUGUUACUGCGAAGGGGGGACGGAGAAGGCUAUGUUAGCCGGGCGACGGUUGUCCCGGUUUAAGCAUGUAGGCGGAGGUUCCAGGUAAAUCCGGUACCUUUUAACGCUGAGGUGUGAUGACGAGGCACUACGGUGCUGAAGUAACAAAUGCCCUGCUUCCAGGAAAAGCCUCUAAGCAUCAGGUAACAUUAAAUCGUACCCCAAACCGACACAGGUGGUCAGGUAGAGAAUACCAAGGCGCUUGAGAGAACUCGGGUGAAGGAACUAGGCAAAAUGGUGCCGUAACUUCGGGAGAAGGCACGCUGAUAUGUAGGUGAAGCCCCUGCGGGUGGAGCUGAAAUCAGUCGAAGAUACCAGCUGGCUGCAACUGUUUAUUAAAAACACAGCACUGUGCAAACACGAAAGUGGACGUAUACGGUGUGACGCCUGCCCGGUGCCGGAAGGUUAAUUGAUGGGGUUAUCCGUAAGGAGAAGCUCUUGAUCGAAGCCCCGGUAAACGGCGGCCGUAACUAUAACGGUCCUAAGGUAGCGAAAUUCCUUGUCGGGUAAGUUCCGACCUGCACGAAUGGCGUAAUGAUGGCCAGGCUGUCUCCACCCGAGACUCAGUGAAAUUGAACUCGCUGUGAAGAUGCAGUGUACCCGCGGCAAGACGGAAAGACCCCGUGAACCUUUACUAUAGCUUGACACUGAACAUUGAGCCUUGAUGUGUAGGAUAGGUGGGAGGCUUUGAAGCGUGGACGCCAGUCUGCGUGGAGCCAACCUUGAAAUACCACCCUUUAAUGUUUGAUGUUCUAACGUUGGCCCCUGACCGGGGUUGCGGACAGUGUCUGGUGGGUAGUUUGACUGGGGCGGUCUCCUCCCAAAGAGUAACGGAGGAGCACGAAGGUUAGCUAAUCCUGGUCGGACAUCAGGAGGUUAGUGCAAUGGCAUAAGCUAGCUUGACUGCGAGCGUGACGGCGCGAGCAGGUGCGAAAGCAGGUCAUAGUGAUCCGGUGGUUCUGAAUGGAAGGGCCAUCGCUCAACGGAUAAAAGGUACUCCGGGGAUAACAGGCUGAUACCGCCCAAGAGUUCAUAUCGACGGCGGUGUUUGGCACCUCGAUGUCGGCUCAUCACAUCCUGGGGCUGAAGUAGGUCCCAAGGGUAUGGCUGUUCGCCAUUUAAAGUGGUACGCGAGCUGGGUUUAGAACGUCGUGAGACAGUUCGGUCCCUAUCUGCCGUGGGCGCUGGAGAAUUGAGGGGGGCUGCUCCUAGUACGAGAGGACCGGAGUGGACGCAUCACUGGUGUUCGGGUUGUCAUGCCAAUGGCAUUGCCCGGUAGCUAAAUGCGGAAGAGAUAAGUGCUGAAAGCAUCUAAGCACGAAACUUGCCCCGAGAUGAGUUCUCCCUGAGACUUUAAGUCUCCUGAAGGAACGUUAAAGACGAUGACGUUGAUAGGUCGGGUGUGUAAGCGUAGCGAUACGUUGAGCUAACCGAUACUAAUGAACCGUGAGGCUUAACC
rnacentral:rRNA from 1 species